GUAGGGAAUAUUGGGCAAUGGUCGGAAGACUGACCCAGCCAUGCCGCGUGCAGGAAGACGGCCCUCUGGGUUGUAAACUGCUUUUAUCUGGGAAGAAAAAGGCCAUGCGUGGCAAAUUGCCGGUACCAGAUGAAUAAGCACCGGCUAACUCCGUGCCAGCAGCCGCGGUAAUACGGAGGGUGCGAGCGUUGUCCGGAGUUAUUGGGGUUAAAGGGUGCGUAGGCGGCUGAUUAAGUCAGCGGUGAAAGACUUCGGCUUAACCGGAGCAGUGCCGUUGAUACUGGUUGGCUUGAGUGUCGGAGGGGUACAUGGAAUUGAUGGUGUAGCGGUGAAAUGCAUAGAUACCAUCAGGAACACCGAUAGCGAAGGCAUUGUACUGGCCGACAACUGACGCUGAUGCACGAAAGUGUGGGGAUCGAACAGGAUUAGAUACCCUUGUAGUCC
rnacentral:rRNA from 1 species